CCGGCGACCGGCGCACGGGUGAGUAACGCGUAUGCAACUUACCUAUCAGGAGGGGGAUAACCCGGCGAAAGUCGGACUAAUACCGCAUGAAGCAGGGGCCCGCAUGGGGAUAUUUGCUAAAGAUUCAUCGCUGAUAGAUAGGCAUACGUUCCAUUAGGCAGUUGGCGGGGUAACGGCCCACCAAACCGACGAUGGAUAGGGGUUCUGAGAGGAAGGUCCCCCACAUUGGUACUGAGACACGGACCAAACUCCUACGGGAGGCAGCAG
rnacentral:rRNA from 1 species